rnacentral:ncRNA from 1 species
GUAUUGUAUGAAAAAAGAGAAUAUUAGUAUUCCUUUUGAUGAGAAUGGAUGAAGUCCUAGCGGCUUCUACAACAUAUAUGUGGCUAAACAUUGUUGCCUUCUCUUUGGCACUCAAUCAUAUUUUUCU